rnacentral:rRNA from 1 species
AGAUUGAACGCUGGCGGAAUGCUUUACACAUGCAAGUCGAACGGCAGCACGGGACUCAGGCAACUGAGCCCUGGUGGCGAGUGGCGAACGGGUGAGUAACAUAUCGGAACGUACCCAGUCGUGGGGGAUAACUCUCCGAAAGGAGAGCUAAUACCGCAUACGUCCUGAGGGAGAAAGCGGGGACCUAAGGGUAACUGAGGGCCUCGCGCGAUUGGAGCGGCCGAUAGUCGGAUUAGCUAGUUGGUGAGGUAAAGGCUCACAAGGCGACGAUCCGUAGCGGGUCUGAGAGGACGACCCGCCACACUGGAACUGAGACACGGUCCAGACUCCACGGGAGCAGCAGGUGGGUAAUUUGGACAAGUGGGACGAAAGCCUAGAUCCGAGCCAAGUCGACCCGGUGGU